rnacentral:rRNA from 1 species
GACAGAGGUGCCGAGCGUUAGGCGGAAUCACUGGGCUUAAAGCGUGUGUAGGCGGACGGAUAAGUACCUUGUGAAAUCCCACGGCUCAACCGUGGAACGGCUGGGUAUACUGCCCGUCUUGAGCGGCCUAGGGGCAGACGGAACAAGUGGUGGAGCGGUGAAAUGCGUAGAUAUCACUUGGAACGCCGACGGUGAAAACAGUCUGCUGGGGGCCUGCUGACGCUGAGACACGAAAGCCAGGGGAGCGAACGGG